rnacentral:rRNA from 1 species
GACGAACGCUGGCGGCGUGCUUAACACAUGCAAGUCGAACGGAAAGGCCCUGCUUUUGUGGGGUGCUUGAGUGGCGAACGGGUGAGUAACACGUGAGUAACCUGCCCUUGACUUUGGGAUAACUUCAGGAAACUGGGGCUAAUACCGGAUAGGAGCUCCUGCUGCAUGGUGGGGGUUGGAAAGUUUCGGCGGUUGGGGAUGGACUCGCGGCUUACCAGCUUGUUGGUGGGGUAGUGGCUUACCAAGGCUUUGACGGGUAGCCGGCCUGAGAGGGUGACCAGCCACAUUGGGACUGAGAUACGGCCCAGACUCCUACGGGAAGCAGCAGUGGAAAAUAUUACACAAUGGGUGGAAGCCUGAUGCAGCAGCGCCGCGUGCGGAAUGACGGCCUUCGGGGUGUAAACCGCUUUCGCCUGUGACGAAGCGUGAGUGACAGUAAUGGGUAAAGAAGCACCGGCUAACUACGUG